rnacentral:lncRNA from 1 species
AAAAAAAAUUGCGGGACUGUGAGGGUACCCUCAUACCCGCAGCGGGUAUCCGCUGCGGGUAUUCGGGUACCCGCAUCGGGGAAGAGGGUCGGGUGAGGGUGUCGUUUUCGGUAGUUUUCGUCCCGCGGGUACCCGCAUUUUGCGGGUAGGGUACCCGCGGAUACCCGAUUUUCCACCCCUAUAAUCAUGUCCGAAAGAACGAAAAGUUUGACAUUCAUGCGGGGCGUCUACACCACACAAAUGUGAGAAAAUAAUGACACGUAGGCGGGAUCACUACUCACACAAAGAUGAAAAAACUACAUUACGAAUAAGCAGGAUUGAACUCAAAAAAUCUCUUACAAAUAAAAGUCUUUGACCUUUGGGUGCCUCAACUUUAUCAUUUGAGCUAAGCAUCAUUGGCGACAUUUAUGUCAAUUUUAAUUUAGAAAAUUUUCAAUAUCAUGUAUGAUAGAAUCUAAAUAAAUUGAAAGUUUAUGUAUUGUAUGACUUAUAUAUAAAAAUCAUGUUCUGAAAAUUAUCAAUAAUAAUUUAUGUUUUUACGAGCUAAUAAUCAUUGUUUAAAUAUCUACGAUGAAUGCAUAUACAUGUCUACAUCCAUACAUGUAGGGAGAGGUUCAGUAAAACCAUUAAAUAAAAUAAAAACGAAGAAUCAUUUUUAGACCUUCGAUCAUUAAGAUCUACGGUGGAUGUAUCAUCUUAAUAAAUGAAUGAGGCACAUGAGUUCAAAUUUUAAACAAAGCAAAAUUUUUAUCUUUUUCGAGUUUAUUAAAUUUAGCAGUGAGAACAUUAAUUUUUAUAACAGAUCAUGCAGUAAUUGUAAUGGUUCUCAUGUUAUAUUCUCACGUUUUUACGAAAAUUACAAUUUGUGAGCUCGGUAAUUAAUUUCGGAUUUGCCGGAUCUAUUAGCGAAAAAUCAUCAUCCCAUGGCGAGAUGGCUGAAGAACUUGUCCAAUUGUAGCUAGCCAUACUUACCGUAGAGAGUGGAUCGAUUUUGAAAGCAUUGUGGAUUGGCACGAUUUGGAUUCUUUGGAAUUGUAGGAAUGAGAGUAGGUUCCAAGGGAAGGUCUGGGAGAUUCAAAAAGUUUCACAGGAAAUUAAAGGUAGAAUGUGGAGUUGGAAUUCCAUCUUUCAUAUUGUGGAUUCUAAUCUUCCUUUCUCUCUGUGGUGUUCAAAGGACUUCAAACUGGAUUUGCUGUAAUUGUGUACCUCUGGUACCACCUUUUUUUCGUUAAUAUAUUUCUCUUUUACUGAACAAAAUGAGAAAAUGUGGUUAAAUGUGGCGGGUGCAUCUGAAUAGGGAAGAACCCCUAAUUUUAAUUCACAAUUAUCUACAUCAAUAUCCACGCCGCCGGUAUUUAAAAAAAUGGAUCGCCUUCUCCGCCCUCAGUAUACGGCCGGUAAUUACCGACGGCGCCGUUGCCGCCGAUAAUUUUGGCCGGUAUACAAGCGAAUUUUUGUAGUGAUACUAUAUAUAUAUUUAAAUCUUUUGAACUUGGUAGGCC